rnacentral:tRNA from 1 species
GCUGGGGUAGCUCAGUGGAUUGAGAGCCAAGCCUAGAAGGUGGGAGGAUCCUAGGUUCGAAUCCGGGCCUCAGCC